CCUACGGUAGGCUGCAGUGGGGAAUAUUGGACAAUGGGGGGAACCCUGAUCCAGCGACGCCGCGUGAGUGAAGAAGUAUUUCGGUAUGUAAAGCUCUAUCAGCAGGGAAGAAAGAAAUGACGGUACCUGACUAAGAAGCCCCGGCUAACUACGUGCCAGCAGCCGCGGUAAUACGUAGGGGGCAAGCGUUAUCCGGAUUUACUGGGUGUAAAGGGAGCGUAGACGGCGAUGCAAGUCUGAAGUGAAAGGCGGGGGCCCAACCCCCGGACUGCUUUGGAAACUGUAUGGCUGGAGUGCAGGAGAGGUAAGUGGAAUUCCUAGUGUAGCGGUGAAAUGCGUAGAUAUUAGGAGGAACACCAGUGGCGAAGGCGGCUUACUGGACUGUAACUGACGUUGAGGCUCGAAAGCGUGGGGAGCAAACAGGAUUAGAUACCCCUGUAGUC
rnacentral:rRNA from 1 species